rnacentral:rRNA from 1 species
UACGAGUGCCCCGAGCGUUAUCCGGAAUUAUUGGGCGUAAAGCGUGUGUAGGUGGUCAUGUUAGUCUCCUGCGAAAUUCUUCGGCUUAACCGGGGCAUGAUGGGAGAAACGGCAUGACUUAGAGGGUGCGAGGGGUCUGUAGAAUUCUAGGUGUAGGGGUGAAAUCCGUUGAUAUCUAGGAGAAUACCAAAAGCGAAGGCAGCAGACUGGCGCAUUCCUGACACUGAGACACUAAAGCGUGGGUAGCGAAUGGG